GUUCUUGUUUCAUUCGAUACAGAAUUUUUGUGUUUACAAAUUUUGCACGUCCAAUGGGACCUCUCUGCCUCUUGUCUCUAUUUUCAAAUUUACAAGAAACACACAUGGCAUCAAGAAAGGAUCAAGCUGUUCCCUCAAUCAACGCGAAGAACAAGAACAAUCCUUGUUAUAGGUGGUGGCACUUUGAGUGUCACUACUCAAAGCAAGGCAAUAGUUAUCUCUGUCGUGCUUUCCACCCCUACAUCAACUCUGCUGAAAGAUAAGAGCACUCAAGGCACGAAC
rnacentral:lncRNA from 1 species